rnacentral:rRNA from 4 species
GGAUCAGCACGCCGCGGUGAAUACGUUCCCGGGCCUUGUACACACCGCCCGUCACACCACGAGAGUUUGUAACACCCGAAGUCGGUGAGGUAACCUUUUAGGAGCCAGCCGCCUAAGGUGGGAUAGAUGAUUGGGGUGAAGUCGUAACAAGGUAGCCGUAUCGGAAGGUGCGGCUGGAUCACCUCCUUU